ACGGGAGGCAGCAGUGGGGGAUAUUGCACAAUGGGGGAAGCCUGAACCAGCCAAGUCGCGUGAGGGAAGAAGGUCCUACGGAUUGUAAACCUCUUUAGCCGGGGAGCAAUAAGCCGCUCGUGAGCGGCGAUGAGAGUACCCGGAGAAUAAGGAUCGGCUAACUCCGUGCCAGCAGCCGCGGUAAUACGGAGGAUCCGAGCGUUAUCCGGAUUUAUUGGGUUUAAAGGGUGCGCAGGCGGUCGAUUAAGUCAGUGGUCAAAUCACGGUGCUCAACGCCGUUCCGCCAUUGAUACUGGUUGACUUGAUUCCGGUCGAGGCAGGCGGAAUUCGUAGUGUAGCGGUGAAAUGCAUAGAUAUUACGAAGAACUCCGAUUGCGUAGGCAGCUUACCAGGCCGGCAAUGACGCUCAUGCACGAAAGUGCGGGGAUCGAACAGGAUUAGAUACCCUGGUA
rnacentral:rRNA from 1 species